GGCAGAAGGGAAACACCUGAAACAUGGAGGACAGGAGGGCGUGGAUGAUUCUGCUCCAGCGGAUCACGAUUUCCUUCAUGAAUGAAAUGAAACUCGGCUCAUCUCAUCUGCAUGCAGGCUAACCCGUCUCCAUGAACACAAAAUCAGUUUUCACUAAAACCCUAAAAAAAGCCCAUAUCAUCAUCCCUCCACCGCCGUGCCUCAGCUUUCCUUCAUCCAGAAGCAGCUCGGCUAACUUCAGUCUGGCAGCCAUCGUGUUUCUAGGGAGAAGAGGCUUUUCUCCUUCAACGUGUCCAAACAGCCUUAGUGGUUCAGCGUCGUGACCUUUAACCUUUAACUGACUCAGCAGUUUACCUGAGUGGCUCAAUAAGGAAAACGGAACCAGCACAGAUGGACCUGAAGAGAAACAACCGACGGAAGAUUAUAAAUAAAAUAUGGAUAUAAAUCAAAACAACAAGAGCAGGAACAAAAUGGGUACGGAGCAACAUCCCUGACAAAAAUCAGAGAUCAGCAUUACGUCGACCCGGUUUGACCACUUCUUCCAGUGUGAACCACAUAAAGGCUGUGUGUAUUUUAUUAGUGGUAUCAGAAUAAAGGGGUCUGAAUGAACAUGAAACAC